rnacentral:rRNA from 1 species
UACGAAGGGGCUAGCGUUGCUCGGAAUUACUGGGCGUAAAGGGUGCGUAGGCGGGUCUUUAAGUCAGGGGUGAAAUCCUGGAGCUCAACUCCAGAACUGCCUUUGAUACUGAGGAUCUUGAGUUCGGGAGAGGUGAGUGGAACUGCGAGUGUAGAGGUGAAAUUCGUAGAUAUUCGCAAGAACACCAGUGGCGAAGGCGGCUCACUGGCCCCGAUACUGACGCUGAGGCACGGAAAAGCGUGGGGGAGCAAACAGG